UCGGAUAUGGUGUAAAGGCUAACUUUGCGCCUCUCAUCUCUCGAGUUCCCUUCCUCAUUCACGCGCUAGCUCGGGGUUCGAUUCCUCGUAUCCGAA